rnacentral:rRNA from 1 species
AACGUAGGACACAAGCGUUAUCCGGAGUUACUGGGCGUAAAGGGCGUGUAGGCGGACCUAUAAGUCUAUUCUGAAAGCUCCUGGCUAAACUGGGAGAGGCGAAUGGAGACUGUAGAUCUAGAGUGAGGAAGAGGAAAGUGGAAUUCCGCGUGUAGUGGUGAAAUGCGUAGAGAUGCGGAGGAACACCAGUGGCGAAAGCGACUUUCUGGUCCUUAACUGACGCUGAGGCGGCGGAAAAGCAUGGGGAGCGAACGGGG